UGUAACCCCAACACUUUUUGGAGGCUGAGGUGAGCGUAUACUCGAGCCUGGGAGUUUGAGACCAGCCUGGGCAACAUAGGGAGAUCCUGCCUCCACAAAAAUAAUAAAAAAUAUUAGCUAGGCUUCGUGGUGCACACCUGUGGUCUCAGCUACUUGGGAGGCUGAGGUGGGAGGAUCACCCACCUCAAGCCCGGGGGGUUGAGGCUGUCAUGAGUCAAGAUUGCACCACUGUACUCCAGCUUGAGUGACAGAGUGAGACCCUGUCUCAUAAACAAACAAAAAAAUCAGGAUAUUUUACAUAGGAAUUUAAAUAUUUGACCUCUUCUAGAAAAUCAAGCGCGUGGCAACUCUGGGCCUAUUGCCGCGUGUUCCUCAGCCAUCGCUCGGGCCAGGGCCUGGGUGCGCAGGCUGUCCCCUGCCCCGUAGGCCCCCAGCCUAGUUCAAUAGUCAAGCAUUUUGAAGAGAAUGAAUGAAAUCCAGUUCUUGACAGUCCUAAAGGAAGACUUGAAGUCUAUGAAGUUGAGCAGUUUCCAGGUUUACCUGGAUUCUGGGCAAACACAGUCUGAGAAGUAGCUGGGGCUCCAGGCAAGUGCUCAGGGGGCAUCUCUGCAGGGGAACUGCCAGGCUUCCGGGAGGGCUGGCCUCGCCCCCAAGGCCUCAGCGCCAUGCUUGUCUUGGCAGAAUCACCUCCACUGUGGCCUGCGACAUGGACCUGGCCAAAUACCCCAUGGACGAGCAGGAGUGCAUGCUGGACCUGGAGAGCUGUGAGUGGGUGUGCAAAGCGGGCAGGGGCUUCUCUCGGGGGGAGCCACGCUGGCUUCUCCAGCAGUGGAUGGGGGCUCAGACUGUCAGCCCGGGGCCUGGACAAGGCUGGCCCGGCUCAGGGUGCAGGAAAGCACCAAACCAGCUUCUGCAUGAGCAAGAAGCCUGGGCAGGAGGAGAAGGGGCCAGAAGGCCUGGAGCAGUCUGGCUUGUGGGUCUGUGCCCUGCCUGGGGAGCCGGGCCGUGGAGCCCAUACAUGGCACAUAUUGAUAUUGUUGAGCCAGUGCAGCAGCCCCUGUGUGUCACCUGACAACGGUGACCCCAUCUGUGUCCCAUCCACCUGCCCGGAGGAGCCCAACAUGGUCCCAGAGCCGAAGUCCUCCUUGCUCCUGGCUGGGGUCCUGCUCGGUCCCCAUCACAAUGGUGUCGGCCCCGUGCAGGCUUCCUGUGUGGACGGAGCGCUCCUGCCAGGGCUCCCGGGGCGGGGCCAGGCUCUGCCGCCCACCUGUGUGCUUUUCCUCCAGACGGUUACUCAUCAGAGGACAUCGUCUACUACUGGUCGGAGAGCCAGGAGCACAUCCAUGGGCUGGACAAGCUGCAGCUGGCGCAGUUCACCAUCACCAGCUACCGCUUCACCACGGAGCUGAUGAACUUCAAGUCCGCCGGCCAGUUCCCACGGCUCAGCCUGCACUUCCAGCUGCGGAGGAACCGCGGCGUGUACAUCAUCCAGUCCUACAUGCCCUCUGUCCUGCUGGUCGCCAUGUCCUGGGUCUCCUUCUGGAUCAGCCAGGCGGCGGUGCCCGCCAGGGUGUCUCUAGUGCCCGCUCCUCCCUGCCGCGGGCGUCAGCCAUCAAGGCACUGGACGUCUACUUCUGGAUCUGCUAUGUCUUCGUGUUUGCCGCCCUGGUGGAGUACGCCUUUGCGCAUUUCAACGCCGACUACAGGAAGAAGCAGAAAGCCAAGGUCAAGGUCUCCAGGCCGAGGGCAGAGAUGGACGUGAGGAAUGCCAUUGUCCUCUUCUCCCUCUCUGCUGCCGGCGUCACGCAGGAGCUGGCCAUCUCCCGCCGGCAGCGCCGCGUCCCGGGGAACCUGAUGGGCUCCUACAGGUCGGUGGGGGUGGAGACAGGGGAGACGAAGAAGGAGGGGGCAGCCCGCUCGGGAGGCCAGGGGGGCAUCCGUGCCCGGCUCAGGCCCAUCGACGCAGACACCAUUGACAUUUACGCCCGCGCUGUGUUCCCUGCGGCGUUCGCCGCCGUCAAUGUCAUCUACUGGGCGGCGUACGCCAUGUGAGCGCAGGACU
rnacentral:sRNA from 1 species